AUGCACGCUGGCGGCGUGCCUAAUACAUGCAAGUCGAGCGAACAGACGAGGAGCUUGCUCCUCUGACGUUAGCGGCGGACGGGUGAGUAACACGUGGAUAACAUACCUAUAAGACUGGGAUAACUUCGGGAAACCGGAGCUAAUACCGGAUAAUAUAUUGCACCGCAUGGUUCAAUAGUGAAAGACGGUUUUGCUGUCACUUAUAGAUGGAUCCGCGCCGCAUUAGCUAGUUGGUAAGGUAACGGCUUACCAAGGCAACGAUGCGUAGCCGACCUGGGAGGGUGAUCGGCCACACUGGAUCUGAGACACGGUCCAGACUCCUACGGGAGGCAGCAGUAGGGAAUCUUCCGCAAUGGGCGAAAGCCUGACGGAGCAACGCCGCGUGAGUGAUGAAGGUCUUCGGAUCGUAGAACUCUGUUAUUAGGGAAGAACAAAUGUGUAAGUAACUAUGCACGUCUUGACGGUACCUAAUCAGAAAGCCACGGCUAACUACGUG
rnacentral:rRNA from 1 species